rnacentral:rRNA from 1 species
UACGUAGGGUGCAAGCGUUAUCCGGAAUUACUGGGCGUAAAGCGCGUGUAGGCGGAUGGGCAAGUCUGCUGUGAAAGCUCCUGGCUUAACCGGGAGUGGUCGGUGGAAACUGCCAAUCUGGAGGACGGUAGAGGUAGGUAGAAUUCCCGGUGUAGUGGUGAAAUGCGUAGAGAUCGGGAGGAAUACCUGUGGCGAAGGCGGCCUACUGGGCCGGACCUGACGCUGAGACACGAAGGCGUGGGGAGCGAACGGG